CAUUUGCGAACGAAAGGCAGGCAGCGCGGGUCACGAACUCUGACCUUUAGACUGUCGACAUCCUUCACAAUUUUCAAGAAAAUUUCGUCUAAAAGGAAGUGAAGACACUGAAGGAGACGGGGAAGAGACGAGACUUGUGUUACCAUGGAAACAGUACAAGUUCACGAGGUUGAGAGUGGGCAGGAAAUAACAUGUACGUCAGACCAUACC